rnacentral:tRNA from 1 species
ACACAAUUAGUUAAAUGGUUUAAUAUUGAUUUUCCACAUUAAAGUUAUGAGUUCGAUUCUCAUAUUGUGUA